CUUUCGCGUCUCUACGUCUAUUAUUUUCUUCCAGGCUGUUUUUGAGGGGAAGAGAUGGACGAGAAGAAGCUGUUUACCAUCAUUCUACUCAGGCUCAUUUAACCGCGUUGGAAUGCGGCUUGAACUUGCGAUCAAAGACAUACAACAUCCGAGAGGUAGUACAUAUUUUCUCAUCAUAAGUCUGAAUUGCAUUCAUUCAAAAAGCGGUUUUUAAAUACUGCUCAACCCAUAUGGACAUACAUGACUAGGCAAGGUGGAAAUACUAAGUGUACGGUGGACGUAUUGGUAUCUAUGAGGCGAGAUUCCAUGGUCUUCAAUCGUCUUUACUACGAAAAGGGUGUAAAAUGGAACGUUACUUUGGUGGGCAUAUUUGAUCAACAAAAAAAGAAUCGCAUAUAUGUUUCUCUCAAAGGUGGUGCGUAUAAGAUUACGGAUAAAAUCGUCCAUUUCAAUAGAGAACACCACUGUGCUGUGAUUAGGAGCUCCAUGCGCAUUACCGGUGAGCUACACAUGUAUGACUUGCGAGUUUGGAACUCAAGCACGGUAAUCGGCAAUGCUCACCCCUGUCUUCGAAGAUUCACAGAGCUGGAACCUAAAAGACAUUGUAUUUACGAAGAUUCCUGCAAGGGCCUAUUUCAUAAGAGUUCAGGAUCGCCGAAGUUGAUUCAGCAAAGUGCACAACGCCCACGGCAAAAGUUAUAGAAUAUGGCAAGCAAAAUAUAAGUUCGCUCAACAAAAUGUGUUGCGGGACUACUUGGUGAUGGUAUACUUUUCUUACUUACGUAACUAAUCAACUGCUACUUUGUAAUGUGAGACAAA